UCCCUCCCCGCUCCCCGGGCGCGCGCUGACUGUGGCUUUGCUUGUUUGACUAGUUGGCUGCGCCCCCGGCGAGGAUGCCGUGGACUGGUGCCUCUAUCAGCUCAAUGGCACGGCGGAGUUGGAGGUCUCCGAAGGGGACAUCAAGUUGGUAACUAAGGGCAUCCCCGUGCAGUGGAGUAAUCCUCGGAGUCAGAUGACUGCCAGCCUGCACCUGGCUUUGCAGUGCCUGGUGAUAAUGAAUGUUGUUCUCUCUCUUGUCAACUCGGAAAGAUGAAUCCGAAGUAAAAGCAUUCCUACGGGGCACGCGGACGAGCCUCCGCCUGCGUGUAAGAGCAAGGAACAAAAUGGUUUUACCAGAUGGGAUUCGUGACCGUACAAAACAACCUCAAAGGCGCCCCGAUGUGUGCUGCGGUAUGGUGCCAAGGGGUGCCUUCAGUGCUCUGAAGUGACAUGCCAGCUCUGUAGAAUAAACACUUAUGCUGAUGA